rnacentral:rRNA from 1 species
GAUGAACGCUAGCGGCAGGCUUAAUACAUGCAAGUCGAGGGGCAGCAAGGGUAGCAAUACCUGUUGGCGACCGGCAAACGGGUGCGGAACACGUACAGAACCUUCCUUUAAGCGGGGGAUAGCCCAUAGAAAUGUGGAUUAAUACCCCAUAGUAAUGUUUAAUGGCAUCAUUAGAUAUUUAAAGAUUUAUCACUUAAAGAUGGCUGUGCGGCUGAUUAGGUAGUUGGUGUGGGAACGGCCCACCAAGCCAGCGAUCAGUAACUGGUGUGAGAGCACGACCAGUCACACGGGCACUGAGACACGGGCCCGACUCCUACGGGAGGCAGCAGUAAGGAAUAUUGGUCAAUGGACGCAAGUCUGAACCAGCCAUG